AUUAACAAAUAAAUACCUUCGGCUGUACUGUCCUUCAUGAACAAAUUUGGCCUUCUAAACAAAUUGUUUAGAUAGACUUUGUUGUUUAGGAUGGACCGUGUAGCCUAAGUUAUUUUAUGUUAAG
rnacentral:pre_miRNA from 1 species